GACGAACGCUGGCGGCGUGCUUAACACAUGCAAGUCGAACGAAGUGGCGAACGGGUGAGUAACGCGUAAUCAACCUGCCCUUCAGAGGGGGACAACAGUUAGAAAUGACUGCUAAUACUCCAUAGCAAGGGAUGAGACUAUAUCGUAUCAGCUAGUCGGUGGGGUAACGGCCUACCUAGGCUAUGACGCGUAACUGGUCUGAGAGGAUGAUCAGUCACAUGGGAACUGAGACACGGUCCAAACUCCUACGGGAGGCAGCAGUAGGGAAGCUUCCGCAAUGGACGAAAGUCUGACGGAGCAACGCCGCGUGAGUGAUGACGGCCUUCGGGUUGUAAAGCUCUGUUAAUCGGGACGCGGUACCGGAAUAGAAAGCAACGGCUAACUACGUGCCAGCAGCCGCGGUAAUUC
rnacentral:rRNA from 1 species